CCUACGGGAGACAGCAGUGAGGAAUAUUGGUCAAUGGACGAGAGUCUGAACCAGCCAAGUAGCGUGAAGGAUGACUGCCCUAUGGGUUGUAAACUUCUUUUAUAUGGGAAUAAAACGUUCCACGUGUGGGAUUUUGUAUGUACCAUAUGAAUAAGGAUCGGCUAACUCCGUGCCAGCAGCCGCGGUAAUACGGAGGAUCCGAGCGUUAUCCGGAUUUAUUGGGUUUAAAGGGAGCGUAGGUGGAUUGUUAAGUCAGUUGUGAAAGUUUGCGGCUCAACCGUAAAAUUGCAGUUGAAACUGGCAGUCUUGAGUACAGUAGAGGUGGGCGGAAUUCGUGGUGUAGCGGUGAAAUGCUUAGAUAUCACGAAGAACUCCGAUUGCGAAGGCAGUUCACUGGACUGCAACUGACACUGAGGCUCUAAAGUGUGGGUAUCAAACAGGAUUAGAUACCCGGGUAGUC
rnacentral:rRNA from 1 species